AGUGAACGCUGGCGGUAGGCCUAACACAUGCAAGUCGAACGGCAGCACAUUAAGAGCUUGCUCUUACGGGUGGCGAGUGGCGGACGGGUGAGGAAUACAUCGGAAUCUACUUUUUCGUGGGGGAUAACGUAGGGAAACUUACGCUAAUACCGCAUACGACCUACGGGUGAAAGCAGGGGAUCUUCGGACCUUGCGCGAUUGAAUGAGCCGAUGUCGGAUUAGCUAGUUGGCGGGGUAAAGGCCCACCAAGGCGACGAUCCGUAGCUGGUCUGAGAGGAUGAUCAGCCACACUGGAACUGAGACACGGUCCAGACUCCUACGGGAGGCAGCAGUGGGGAAUAUUGGACAAUGGGCGCAAGCCUGAUCCAGCCAUACCGCGUGGGUGAAGAAGGCCUUCGGGUUGUAAGGCCCUUUUGUUGGGAAAGAAAAGCAGCAGGUUAAUACCCCGCUGUUCUGACGGUACCCAAAGAAUAAGCACCGGCUAACUUCGUG
rnacentral:rRNA from 1 species